GUCUGUAAGUGCAUGGUGUGUGUACUUGGUGCCCCACAAGCCAGAAGAGGCUGCCGGGUCCCCUGGAACUGGAGUGGCAUAGGGUAGUGAGCUGGGAAACAAAUCCGGGUCUUCUGGAAGAGCAGCCAGUGCUCUUAGCUGCUGAGCCACCUCUGUACCUGGCUUUAAAAAUGUUGAGAAGAAGUAAGACCCAAGUCCCCGAGGCAACAGAGGACGCAAAAAAGGGCAGCAACCACACUCGGGCCAAACGGCUUCUUAAGGUUUUAGUGUCACAAUGUGACCACGACGUCCACAACCCUAACCAUGAGCUACCUUGUACAACUGUAAACAUGGGCACACAUUCCUCUUGUAGUCCAACUCCACAGAGCUUGGUCAAGGACAUUGUUUAAAAACACUAACGAGCCCCUUGAAUGCUUGCUGCAUAGACACAGAACAUUUGAAUUUGGCAUUAAAGGGACCACAGCAUCCGA